rnacentral:ncRNA from 1 species
CUGAAAGCAUAAAUAAUUGUGCCUUUAUACAGUAAUGUAUAUCGAAAAAUCCUCUAAUUCAGGGAACACCUAAACAAACUAAGAUGUAGGCAAUCCUGAGCUAAGCUCUUAGUAAUAAGAGAAAGUGCAACGACUAUUCCGAUAGGAAGUAGGGUCAAGUGACUCGAAAUGGGGAUUACCCUUCUAGGGUAGUGAUAUAGUCUGAACAUAUAUGGAAACAUAUAG